AAAUAAAAAAAAUCGAUGUCUUGGGUUGCUGUGCGUUGGACACAGCAGCCCAAGACAAGACACAGUAGCCCAAGACGUUUUUUUUU